rnacentral:rRNA from 1 species
AUUCCAGCUCCAAUAGCGUAUACUAAAGCUGCUGCAGUUAAAACGCCCGUAGUUGGAAUUUGGCCAGCUGUACGUGAGGUCGACCGCGAUGGUAUGAACCCGCGUGCACUGGUCUCCUACUGGACGCGCGCCGAUCCUCUUAAGUGAGGUUCGGUUUCGCGUCGCCUUCGGGCGGCCGGGCGCCAGUUCGUUUACUGUCAGUAAAUCAAAGCGCUUAAAGCAGGCUCUACGCCAUGCAUGCUCUAGGAUGGGAUAAUGGAACAGGAUUCGUUUCUAGUUUUGUUGGUUCGAGAAAUGAGUAAUGAUUAAUAGGGACGGUUGGGGGCAUUUGUAUUGCUGAGCUAGAGGUGAAUUUCAUAGAUUUCAGCAAGACAAACCUAUGCGAAAGCAUUUGCCAAAGACGUUCUCGUUAAUCAAGGACGAAAGUUGGGGGAUCGAAGACGAUCAGAUACCGUCGUAGUCUCAACCGUAAACGAUGCCGACCAGGGAUUGCAAGACGUUUUCAUGACUUUUGCAGCACCUUGUGGGAAACCAGAGUUUUUGGGUUCUGGGGGGAGUAUGGCCGCAAGACUGAAACUUAAAGGAAUUGACGGAAGGGCACCACCAGGCGUGGAGCCUGCGGUUUAAUUUGACCCAACACGGGGAAACUUACCAGGUCCAGACGUCGGGAGGAUUGACAGAUUGAGAGCUCUUUCUUGAUUCGAUGAGUGGUGGUGCAUGGCCGUCUCCAGUUGGUGGAGUGAUUUGUCUGCUUAAUUGCGAUAACGAACGAGACCUCAACGUAUAAAUAGUGUGGCGAACGCUUUCCGUUUCGGCGGGCUGAGUUUGUACGCGCUUCUUAUGCGGACUGUUGUAGUUCAUACAAAGGAAGUUUGAGGCAAAGACAGGUCUGUGAUGCCCUUAGAUGUCCUGGGCCACACGCGCGCGACAAUGACACGCUCAACAAGUAUCUCUCCUGGCCCUAGCGGGUUGGGUAAUCUUUGAGUGCGUGUCGUAGUGGGGAUUGAUCCUUGUAAUUCUUGAUCAUCAACGAGGAAUGCCUAGUAAUCGCGAGUCAACAACUCGCGAUGAUUACGUCCCUGCCCUUUGUACACACCGCCCGUCGCUCCUACCGAUUGGGUCGUUCGGUGAACUCCUCGGAGUCUGAGCCGUGUCUAGUUUACUAGGCGCGGUUUGUGCGAAGUUGAGCAAAUCUAACGAUCUAGAGGAAGGAGAAGUCGUA